UCUUUAGACAGAGUCUGUUCUUGUUCCAUAGAUUUUGGUUUUAGGCAGAUUGUAGUUGUUUUUUUUUCGAAGAAGAAGUCGGCAGCUUAAACAAUCUGGACUUUUGGCUUACAGUUUUGAACUUAUUUCUUACUGAUUGAGAAGGGUUAACACUACUUGAAGGAAACUUGUAUAUAAAGUGAUUUAUGUUCUUAAUCUAAGGGCUUCUCUGUUGUGUCUUGUUUAUUUUAGUGGAGUGAGUUUCCAGCAUGUGUGUCUAUGUUGCAGGAGUAAAAUGAAAAGAAAUUCCCUUAUCCUAAACAUGAAAAUUUGAGAGAGGCAGAGGGUUGUAUGCAACAUAAAUGUUUCUUUUUCUCCCUUUACUUUUAUCAUGUGGUGUUCUAAGCAUGCUUUAGGUUUGAUUACUACAUGAUGACAUGAAAUUCUGGUUGGGAGGAAGGUGGAGGUGAAAUUACCUCUUGGAGAAAUUACUAACUUGGUAUUUGUUGUUAGAAAACAAAGCUUGCCCUCCUCCUUUAGAGUUCCUAGUUGCAGUGACAAAGAAAGGGGGGUGAAACUGAGUUCUCCUUUUUUGAAUGAAGAGAGAUUCUUGGAGAUGAGGAAGGAGGAAGACAUGUUACCUAAGGGAUGCAGGGCUGCUGUAAGAAAGCCUGCAGAAUCCUACUCCAAGCUCUCUCUCUAACUCUUAAUUUGCUGAAAUUUCCAGUGCAUUGAAGGGAGUCUAACGGUGGGGUUGAGGGGGUUUUAUAGGCUGAUUUUGUACCUUAGGAGAAUUAAUUGAAAGCUGAUUUCCCACUUGUCCUCAUGUUGAAACCUAUCUCACUUUUGUGAUUUAGUAGUACUCUACACUAAAUGCAAUUUGGUCUUUAGUUGGAGAUUACAAGUCCCCUCAAAACUGAUUUUGGUUGAUUGUGUGACUAGGAAAGCUGGUGCACAGGGGCUGUUUUGGAGGAGCAAAAAAAAUGGCAGCUUUGACUUGCCUCUCUUGGUUUUGUAGGUGAGAAAGGAAGGUGUGGCUAUUGUGUUGUUCUCGGGCUAGGCUCGCUCCCCUCGGCCCGACGGACUGCUCAAAGACGGGCUAUAGUUCGGGCCUGGAGAAGAGGCCCGAAGUGCAUCAAAAAUUUAUCUUUUCUUUUCUUUGUUUUCUUUAUUUGAAGCCUUGUUCCAUGUAUUAUUAUUUUUUUUGAAGUUAGUAGUUCGUUUAUUGUAUAUGAAACGCUAUUCGAAUUUCUUUAUACUUGGGAAAAGACUUCUUGUC